rnacentral:rRNA from 1 species
AUUGAACGCUGGCGGCAGGCCUAACACAUGCAAGUCGAGCGGAUGAAGGGAGCUUGCUCCUGGAUUCAGCGGCGGACGGGUGAGUAAUGCCUAUGAAUCUGCCUGGUAGUGGGGGAUAACGUCCGGAAACGGGCGCUAAUACCGCAUACGUCCUGAGGGAGAAAGUGGGGGAUCUUCGGACCUCUCGCUUUCAGAUGAGCCUAGGUCGGAUUAGCUAGUUGGUGGGGUAAAGGCCUACCAAGGCGACGAUCCGUAACUGGUCUGAGAGGAUGAUCAGUCACACUGGAACUGAGACACGGUCCAGACUCCUACGGGAGGCAGCAGUGGGGAAUAUUGGACAAUGGGCGAAAGCAUGAUCCAGCCAUGCCGCGUGUGUGAAGAAGGUCUUCGGAUUGUAAAGCACUUUAAGUUGGGAGGAAGGGCAGUAAGUUAAUACCUUGCUGUUUUGACGUUACCAACAGAAUAAGCACCGGCUAACUUCGUG